AACUUCAUGAGACUCAGAUAAAUGGUUGCAGAGAGGAUCACACCUGUCGACAGCAAACAAAAGUUUAAGAACUACUGAAUUUUCAGUCAGAAAUGAUCACUCCGCCUGGUUGAAGUCUCCAUAUGCAAGUCAACAAAGCAGAGAGAAAACACCCGAUUGACAACAUGUGAGUCUCAAGUUCAACCUGUGACUGGGAAGACUACAACCAUCCUGAGCAAAAUCUGAACUUGGUGACUUGUUACUCUCAACCCAGAACAAGAAUCCUUUUAUCACCGGUUUUUCUUCUACAAUAGGUUAUGUCUUAUGUGGACACAUGCUGU